rnacentral:rRNA from 1 species
UAGAGGGUGCGAGCGUUGUCCGGAAUCAUUGGGCGUAAAGCGCGUGUAGGCGGUUCGGUAAGUCCGCUGUGAAAGUCGGGGGCUCAACCCUCGAAUGCCGGUGGAUACUGUCGGACUAGAGUACGGAAGAGGCGAGUGGAAUUCCUGGUGUAGCGGUGAAAUGCGCAGAUAUCAGGAGGAACACCAAUUGCGAAGGCAGCUCGCUGGGACGUUACUGACGCUGAGACGCGAAAGCGUGGGGAGCAAACAGG